rnacentral:rRNA from 1 species
UACGUAGGUGACAAGCGUUAUCCGGAUUUAUUGGGCGUAAAGCGCACGCAGGCGGCUGAGUAAGUCUGACGUGAAAUCUCCCGGCUUAACCGGGAGCGGUCGUUGGAAACUACUUGGCUUGAGGCGAUGAGAGGGGUGUGGAAUUCCUGGUGUAGUGGUGGAAUGCGUAGAUAUCAGGAGGAACACCGGUGGUGUAGACGGCUUUCUGGACCGUAACUGACGCUGAGACACGAAAGCGUGGGUAGCAAACAGG